GCGCCCAAAGGUUCCCUCAACCUGGACGGCAAUCAGGUGUUGAGUGUAAGUGCACAAGGGAGCUUGACUGCGAGACUGACACGUCAAGCAGGGACGAAAGUCGGGACUAGUGAUCCGGCACCUCUGAGUGGAAGGGGUGUCGCUCAACGGAUAAAAGGUACCCCGGGGAUAACAGGCUGAUCUUCCCCAAGAGUCCAUAUCGACGGGAUGGUUUGGCACCUCGAUGUCGGCUCGUCGCAUCCUGGGGCUGGAGCAGGUCCCAAGGGUUGGGCUGUUCGCCCAUUAAAGCGGCACGCGAGCUGGGUUUAGAACGUCGUGAGACAGUUCGGUCUCUAUCCGCCGCGCGCGUCAGAAGCUUGAGGAAAUCUGUCCCUAGUACGAGAGGACCGGGACGGACGAACCUCUGGUCCACCAGUUGUCCCACCAGGGGCACCGCUGGAUAGCCACGUUCGGACAGGAUAACCGCUGAAAGCAUCUAAGCGGGAAACCCCCUCCAAGACCAGGCUUCUCACCCAUUUAAGUGGGAUAAGGCCCCCCGCAGACCACGGGAUCGAUAGACCAGACCUACAAGACCAGCAAUGGUCGCAGGGAACUGGCACUAACCGGCCGAAAACUUACAACACC
rnacentral:rRNA from 1 species